rnacentral:rRNA from 1 species
CUUGGUGGUCUUGGAGGCGGGGGUACACCCGAUCCCAUUCCGAACUCGGAAGUUAAGCCCGCCAUCGCCGAUGAUACUGCGGUUCAAUCGUGGGAAAGUAGGUCGCCGCCAAGACUUUUUUUCAAAAGGCCCUGUCACUCGACAGGGCCUUUUUUGCGUUUGCCAUUCGGGGGGGGGGGGGGGGGGGGGGGG